UAAGAAUUUAAAAGUCGAACAGACUUAUUAUUAAGAAUACUGCUUCUUAAAAUUUUCUUAAUUCAACAUCGAGGUCGCAAAAUACAAUAUAGAUAUGAACUCCCCACUGAAAUUACGCUGUUAUCCCUAAGGUAACUUAAUCUUCUUGUCCCCAAUUUAUAUUGAGAUCUAAAAUUACAUAAAAAAAUGAAUAUUAAAACUAAAGUUAACUAUUUAGCUGCCACCCCAGCAAAAUAUAAAAUAAUAUUAAAAAGGUUCAUGAAAUAAAACUUAAUAAAACCAAAUUAUAUAAAGUUCUAUAGGGUCUUAUCGUCCCAAUAAACUAAUAAAGCAUUUUAACUUUAAAUUUAAAUUUUAAUAAUUAAAAAAAUAAAAUAUACUUCUCAUACUUCCGUUCAUACAAGCUUUCAAUUAAAAAACUAAUUACUAUGCUACCUUUGCACAGUCAAAAUACUGCAGCCAUUUAGAUAUUUUAAACCAUAGGGCAGGAGAUACUUUUUAUAAACACCA
rnacentral:rRNA from 1 species